rnacentral:ncRNA from 1 species
UUUUUGGCUGUGAUGGGGACCAGUAAGUCUGUCUUGCCUUGCAGAGAGCCGGCGGCGGGUGUAAGCCGGCAGGAGGGCAGUCCGAAUCCACCCCGGAGCUUGCUUUGAAAACCUGCAGUGCAGGGCGAAGGAGCACAGGCGGUUCUGUUAGAGACUGUUCAAGAGAAUGCCGGAAUCCGGAAUACUGUCUGGCAUUAAUUUGGGUGGCAACGCGGGUAUCUACUCCCGUCCCAGAA